GAUCUUUUAGUUUAUUUUAGAAAUUUUUAUUUACAAAAAAAGGGGUAUUAGAUUU
rnacentral:tRNA from 1 species